GGGCGAGUGGCGGAACUGGUAUACGCGCACGACUCAAAAUCGUGUUCCUAACGGAGUGAGGGUUCGAUUCCCUCCUCGCCCACCA
rnacentral:tRNA from 1 species